rnacentral:rRNA from 2 species
GACUCUCGGCAACGGAUAUCUCGGCUCUCGCAUCGAUGAAGAACGUAGCGAAAUGCGAUACUUGGUGUGAAUUGCAGAAUCCCGUGAAUCAUCGAGUCUUUGAACGCAAGUUGCGCCCGAAGCCUUUUGGCCGAGGGCACGUCUGCCUGGGUGUCACGC